ensembl:lncRNA
AUGGUUGGAGUGAUGAGUAUGAACAGCAGGGUAAUGACCAGCAAGGUUCUUCUCAAUGGCAGCAGAGGUUUUACAGAGGAUCAGCACCAACCACCAGAAGAUACAACAUAUGACUAUGAUCCUUCUCUGGUUCUCAUUCUGAUGAGGGGAGCCCCGGGAUCUGGGAAAUCAACACUGUCCAGGGAACUGCUGUCGACAGGCUCCAGUGGGCUGAGUACAGAAGACUACUUUUCCCUGGAGGAAGGCUACCCCUACGACCCCAGUCUGCUUGGGGCCGCACACUAUUGGAACCAGAACAGAGGUUGGCUCAUAGCAGUGUCUUUACAAAAGUCCAUCGUUGCUAUAGUUUUAAAAUUUGUUUUUAAGCUAUAUUCUGAUUUUAUUGAACACCCAGAAAGAGAGAAUGACAGUGGGAAAGAUAGAAAUUGUGUCAAAGGGUAGUAGGCCUGAUUCAAACCUAUGCCGAUACUGAAGACGCAUGUUGGAAGCUGAGGCAUUCAUGUUAGACCAGCCAGGCCACCAUCAUUGGUAUUAAUAUGAUGUAUUGUUUAAUUGGAUAUAGUGUUUGUUUUGUAAACAUGUAAAAAAGAUGCAUGGAUUAAUAGUUUUACAUCAAUGCUUUGUAUUCUUUCAGCCAAAGAAGUCGUGUAAACGCUGUUCUCCUGUCAUUAUUGAUAAAACAAACAUGCAAGCUUGGGAAAUGAAGCCAUACGUUAAACUGGUAAGUUUUUAUCCUGUUAUAUUGUCUGUGUUGCAGAAUCCAUUGUUCAGUUAUCAAAAAUCAACCCAUUUUAUGUACAUUUUUAUAAAUAUGUUGAAUACUUAUUUUUCACAAUGCAGGGCUUGGCGAGAGGAUACAGUAUCAACUUUAAUGAGCCUCACACCAGUUGUAAAUUUGAUCCCAUAGAGUUAGAAAAGUAAUUCUGUCCAUGAUUGUCUGCAUUAAAAGAUACCUGUACUAAUGUCAUGUAAGAUGCCAUGCCCAUGUAUUUAGAGAAUAUGCAUUAUACAAAUUAUAUACAGUACAUCAAAGGGCAUUCACUCACUUGAAUGCAGAGGAAAACUGGUCAAUUUAAGAGUGUGCUACUAAAUUAAUGUCAACCUAGUUUUCUUUGCCCCAUGUCAUAAAUCACAUACAAUGAUUCAUUACAUUAUUCUCUACAAUAUUAUAACCUUACUUAGCAGUGAUGAUGAAAUAAGAACAGUUUUUUUUUUUGUGACCAUGCAAGUUUAAACUGACUGUCGCUAUCAAUUUCGGCGUUUGAACGUGGUAACAUUUGGAGGCGUUUCCACACUGGACCAAUCAAAAUUAACUUGAUACCCUGGUCAGUUUCAUCUCCAGAUCAUUGGCUUUCUUUGGCUAUAACCACGAUCAAUCUAUGUUGAGAGGCUGUUUAUAUGGUCAUUUAUACGCCCACACCAGCAGAAAUACACUUUUUCGAUCUGAAAGACGAUGGCCAGAGUUUACCCAUGUUGUAGUACAUCGAAAUAUUUCAAAAGGUUGUCAUUUUAGCCAGUAAGUAUGAUAAAGUUGGAAAUCCGAAGUGAGACAUUCGUGUAAAUCUGUGUCAAUGCGCUGUCUUUUCUUAUGAGAUGACAUGUGUCGUGGAAAUAUUCAGUCAAUAAUAUUUCUCAAAUACCGGAGCCUGAGCCGAGCUGGUUCAUGAAGUAACUCCCUUUCCAGCCUUGGCACACACAGGUUUCAUCCUUACGUCACACACAUAAUAACUCCUCUUUAUGUUAAUGAUUCAUCCCCUCUGGCAUUUAGCCACCAUUAUCUUUUUGCCUUGCACAAAUUUUUGUUUGGUUUCAUUUUAGGGCAUAGAAACAUUAGAGCCAAAGCAAUAGUACAAAAAUAAACAGACAUGCCCACUCCCAAGACAGGUGCAUGUCUAAUGCCGUCUAAUGACCUAGACACACAGAGUGCACUGAUUUUACUCGAAGGUGUCACAUAUGUACUAGAACAUGUCCAAUACGUGCAAUUUAUUUUUAGCCUGUUAUAUUUCAUGGCUGGGUUUUAUUUGAAUGUUCGCAGCACUGCAUUGGUUAUUAAUCAGAAAUACCUGAAAAGUUAUUCCUCUUUACAACUGAGUGGAGCUAAACAGCCUUGCAACCACUUAGCUGCCUGAGCCCAUUGUACAAAUAAAACAGUGGUUGCAAACUUGUGUUUUUUGUACCUACACUUUUUUUUUUACCAGAACUAUUCUAAUCCAUUGGAUAAUUUGUCAAUUUUCACUUAUUUUCUAGCUCGUCUGUAUUAAUUAUAUAUAUCUAACCAUUUUAUAAAUGGUGUAAAUGCAUUAUAUGAUUGCAUUUUGUAUCCCCUCUCCCCCCGUCGCCCCAAGAUCAAUGUUUUUGACAACGACAAGUUUUUCUUUACUACAUGCUCAAUCACUGCUUUGAUUGUGUCUAUCCUAUAAUGAAAAGGCACCCGCUAAAGAAAAUUCAAGGAACUUGUUUAUAAACACAUGACCAAAAGUAUGUGGACACCUUCUCAUCAAACUUCUCAUUCUAAAAUGAUGGCCAUUAAUAUGGAGUUGGUCCCCCUUUUUGCUGCUAUAACGGCCUCCACUCUUCUGAGAAGACUUUCCACUAGAUGUUGGAACAUUGCUGCAGAGACUUGCUUCCAUUCCACCAUGAGCAUUGGUGAGGUCAGGCACUGAUGGUGGGCGUUUAGGCCUGGCUCGCAGUCAGAGUUCCAAUUCAUCCCAAAGGUGUUCGAUUGGGUUGAGUUGGGGGCUCUGUGCAGGUUUUGGGGUUAAUUUCCUUGUUCCUUGUCAAUCAUUGACUCAUUGGUGAAAUUAGCAUUAUGACUCUUUAAAUCAUUCAAAAACAUUUAAUGCAAUUGCAGACAGAAGUUGACAACAGGGACAUAAUGCAUGUUUCCGAGUAAGUUCUGCAUUAAAGAAAAGGUCCCACAUUAUUUUAUUAAAGUGCUUUGAUGCACCUGUACUGUCCUCACCUUCUGGAUGAUAGCGGGAUGAACAGGCAAUAGCUCAGGUUGUUGUUGUCCUUGAUGAUCUUUAUGGCCUUCCUGUGGCAUCGGGUGGUGUAGGUGUCCUGGAGGGCAGGUAGUUUGCCCCCGGUGAUGCGUUGUGCAGACCUCACUACCCUCUGGAGAGCCUUACGGUUGUGGGCGGAGCAGUUGCCGUACCAGGCGGUGAUACAGCCCGACAGGAUGCUCUCGAUUGUGCAUCUGUAAAAGUCGUGGGGGAACCCGGGAGUACAGGAGAGGGCUCAGAACGCACCCUUGUGGGACCCCAGUGUUGAUCAGCGGGGUGGAGAUGUUGUUACCUACCCUCUCCAACUGGGGGCGGCCCGUCAGGAAGUCCAGUACCCAGUUGCUCAGGGCGGGGUCGAGACCCAGGGUCUCGAGCUUGAUGACGAGCUUGGAGGGUACUAUGGUGUUAAAUGCUGAGCUGUAGUUGAUGAACAGCAUUCUCACAUAGGUAUUCCUCUUGUCCAGAUGGGUUAGGCAGUGUGGUUGCGAUUGCAUCGUCUGUGGACCUGUUGGGGCGGUAAGCAAAUUGGAGUGGGUCUAGGGUGUCAGGUAGGGUGGAGGUGAUCAAAGCACUUCAUGUCGUCGGAAGUGAGUGCUAUAGUCGUUUAGCUCAGUUACCUUCGCUUUCUUGGGAACAGGAACAAUGGUGGCCCUCUUGAAGUAAGUGAGAACAGCAGACUGGGAUAAGGAUUGAUUGAAUAUGUCCGUAAACACACCAGCCAGCUGGUCUGCGCAUGCCCUGAGGACGUGGGUGUGGAUGCCGUCUGGGCCUGCAGCCUUGCAAGGGUUAACACGUUUAAAUGUUUUACUCACGUCAGCUGCAGUGAAAGAGAUUGCGCAGGUUUUGGUAGCGGGCCGUGUCAGUGGCACUGUAUUGUCCUCAAAGCGAGCAAAAAAAGUUAUUUAGUCUGUCUGGGAGCAAGACGUCCUGGUCCACGACGGGGCUGGUUUUCUUUUUGUAAUCCGUGAUUUGACUGUAGACCCUGCCACAUACAGUGGGGCAAAAAAGUAUUUAGUCAGCCACCAAUUGUGCAAGUUCUCCCACUUAAAAAGAUGAGAGGCCUGUAAUUUUCCUCGUAGGUACAUUUCAACUAUGACAGACAAAAUGAGAAAAAAAAUCCAGAAAAUCACAUUGUAGGAAUUUUAAUGAAUUUAUUUGCAAAUUAUGGUUGAAAAUAAGUAUUUUGUCACCUACAAACAAACAAGAUUUCUGGCUCUCACAGACCUGUAACUUCUUCUUUAAGAGGCUCCUCUGCCCUCCACUCAUUACCUGUAUUAAUGGCACCUGUUUGAACUUCAGUAUAAAUCAGUAUAAAAAAGACACCUGUCCACAACCUCAAACAGUCACACUCCAAACUCCACUAUGGCCAAGACCAAAGAGCUGUCAAAUGACACCAGAAACAACAUUGUAGACCUGCACCAGGCUGGGAAGACUGAAUCUGCAGUAGGUAAGCAGCUUGGUUUGAAGAAAUCAACUGUGGGAGCAAUUAUUAGGAAAUGGAAGACAUACAAGACCACUGAUAAUCUUCCUCGAUCUGGGGCUCCACGCAAGAUCUCACCCCGUGGGGUCAAAAUUAUCACAAGAACGGUGAGCAAAAAACCCAGAACCACACCUAGUGAAUGACCUACAGAGAGCUGGGACCAAAGUAACAAAGCCUACCAUCAGUAACACACUACGCCGCCAGGGACUCAAAUCCUGCAGUGCCAGACGUGUCCCCCUGCUUAAGCCAGUACAUGUCCAGGCCCGUCUGAAGUUUGAUAGAGUGCAUUUGGAUGAUCCAGAAGAAGAUUGGGAGAAUGUCAUAUGGUCAGAUGAAACCAAAAUAUAACUUUUUGGUAAAAACUCAACUCGUCGUGUUUGGAGGACAAAGAAUGCUGAGUUGCAUCCAAAGAACACCAUACCCACUGUGA